UACAGAGGGGGCAAGCGUUGUUCGGAAUUAUUGGGCGUAAAGGGCUCGUAGGCGGUUUGUCGCGUCGGGAGUGAAAACUCAGGGCUUAACCCUGAGCCUGCUUCCGAUACGGGCAGACUAGAGGUAUGCAGGGGAGAACGGAAUUCCUGGUGUAGCGGUGAAAUGCGUAGAUAUCGAGAGGAACACCUGCGGCGAAGGCGGGUUGCUGGGCCGACACUGACGCUGAUGCGCGAAAGCCAGGGGAGCGAACGGG
rnacentral:rRNA from 1 species